GACGAACGCUGGCGGCGUGCUUAACACAUGCAAGUCGAGCGAUGAAGCACCUUCGGGUGUGAAUUAGCGGCGAACGGGUGAGGAACACGUGAGAAAUCUGCCUUCAACUCUGGGAUAACUCCGUGAAAACGGGGCUAAUACCGGAUAUGAAACCUGCGGGCAUCCGCGGGUUUGGAAAGUUUUUCGGUUGAAGAUGAUCUCGCGGCCUAUCAGCUUGUUGGUGAGGUAAUGGCUCACCAAGGCGACGACGGGUAGCCGGCCUGAGAGGGCGACCGACCACACGGGGACUGUGACACGGCCCAGACUCCUACGGGAGGCAGCAGUGGGGAAUAUUGGGCAAUGGAGGAAACUCUGACCCAGCGACGCCGCGUGCGGGAUGAAGGCCUUCGGGUUGUAAACCUCUUUCGGCACCGACGAAGCGCAAGUGACGGUAGGUGCAGAAGAAGGACCGGCCAACUACGUGCCAGCAGCCGCCGUAA
rnacentral:rRNA from 1 species